rnacentral:rRNA from 1 species
UACGGAGGGGCUAGCGUUGUUCGGAAUUACUGGGCGUAAAGCGCACGUAGGCGGCUUUGUAAGUUAGAGGUGAAAGCCCGGGGCUCAACUCCGGAAUUGCCUUUAAGACUGCAUCGCUAGAAUUGUGGAGAGGUAAGUGGAAUUCCGAGUGUAGAGGUGAAAUUCGUAGAUAUUCGGAAGAACACCAGUGGCGAAGGCGGACUUACUGGACACAUAUUGACGCUGAGGUGCGAAAGCGUGGGGAGCAACAGG